rnacentral:lncRNA from 1 species
UCCUUAUGUAAAAUAUAAAUGAAUUUGUGAUAGAGUAAUUCACUGAUUGCGAUCUGACUUUAUUGACAAAGCUAAUGUGGAUGAGGCUUAGGAUUUUUUCGAGAAAAUGAAUGGAAAAUUUUACAGUUGUUCUAAUUUCUCAAAUCGAUUAAAAGAGACAAACCAAGGCAACAAUCAGAAACCGAAGGAAUCGCUUGAACUGUGAAAGGAGCGAGAACGGGUGCGUAUACAGGGUAAGCAUUUCCUACUUUGCAUGCAUGCAUCACCCGGCGAGUAAGCGUUUCAUGACUAACAUGUCAGCAUGUCAAAUUAUACUAACAGAUCGUCAGUGCUGGUAUUCAUUUACAGUAGUAUUACUACACACCAAAGAUAAAUUACAGAUUACAGGAAAUUAAUAACAUAUGCUUGUAAAACAGCAC